UACGAAGGGGGCUAGCGUUGCUCGGAAUGACUGGGCGUAAAGGGCGCGUAGGCGGAUUGUACAGUCAGGCGUGAAAUUCCCGGGCUCAACCUGGGGGCUGCGCUUGAGACGUGCGAUCUUGAGUGGGGAAGAGGGUCGUGGAAUUCCCAGUGUAGAGGUGAAAUUCGUAGAUAUUGGGAAGAACACCGGUGGCGAAGGCGGCGACCUGGUCCUUGACUGACGCUGAGGCGCGAAAGCGUGGGGAGCGAACAGG
rnacentral:rRNA from 1 species